AAAUGUGAGGGGGAUCUAGCUGUGACAUGUCACCCCAUUGAUCGCCAGGGUUGACUUGGCUGAUCUGGUUGGCUAGGCAGGUGUCCCCUCCCUCUCUCAUCGCUCCCAAAGCUGCGCACUUGGUGGAAGAGGAUGUCCAUCCCAGAUAGAACGAGUGUACAAUUAUUCAGUCAAGACUAUAUGAUAGCUGCGCUCCCCUGCUAAAACAUCCAAACAAGUCCCUGCAGGCUUGGGCAAAAUGGUUGAUGAUACUCUGUAGAGCUUCCUCAGAUUGUGCUGUCAAGUAAUAAUAAUAAUAAUAA